GAGUAACACGUGGGUAACCUGCCUGUAAGACUGGGAUAACUCCGGGAAACCGGGGCUAAUACCGGAUGGUUGUUUGAACCGCAUGGUUCAAACAUAAAAGGUGGCUUCGGCUACCACUUACAGAUGGACCCGCGGCGCAUUAGCUAGUUGGUGAGGUAACGGCUCACCAAGGCAACGAUGCGUAGCCGACCUGAGAGGGUGAUCGGCCACACUGGGACUGAGACACGGCCCACAUCUCUACGGGAGGCAGCAGUAGGGAAUCUUCCGCAAUGGACGAAAGUCUGACGGAGCAACGCCGCGUGAGUGAUGAAGGUUUUCGGAUCGUAAAGCUCUGUUGUUAGGGAAGAACAAGUACCGUUCGAAUAGGGCGGUACCUUGACGGUACCUAACCAGAAAGCCACGGCUAACUACGUGCCAGCAGCCGCGGUAAUACGUAGGUGGCAAGCGUUGUCCGGAAUUAUUGGGCGUAAAGGGCUCGCAGGCGGUUUCUUAAGUCUGAUGUGAAAGCCCCCGGCUCAACCGGGGAGGGUCAUUGGAAACUGGGGAACUUGAGUGCAGAAGAGGAGAGUGGAAUUCCACGUGUAGCGGUGAAAUGCGUAGAGAUGUGGAGGAACACCAGUGGCGAAGGCGACUCUCUGGUCUGUAACUGACGCUGAGGAGCGAAAGCGUGGGGAGCGAACAGGAUUAGAUACCCUGGUAGUCCACGCCGUAAACGAUGAGUGCUAAGUGUUAGGGGGUUUCCGCCCCUUAGUGCUGCAGCUAACGCAUUAAGCACUCCGCCUGGGGAGUACGGUCGCAAGACUGAAACUCAAAGGAAUUGACGGGGGCCCGCACAAGCGGUGGAGCAUGUGGUUUAAUUCGAAGCAACGCGAAGAACCUUACCAGGUCUUGACAUCCUCUGACAAUCCUAGAGAUAGGACGUCCCCUUCGGGGGCAGAGUGACAGGUGGUGCAUGGUUGUCGUCAGCUCGUGUCGUGAGAUGUUGGGUUAAGUCCCGCAACGAGCGCAACCCUUGAUCUUAGUUGCCAGCAUUCAGUUGGGCACUGUAAGGUGACUGCCGGUGACAAACCGGAGGAAGGUGGGGAUGACGUCAAAUCAUCAUGCCCCUUAUGACCUGGGCUACACACGUGCUACAAUGGACAGAACAAAGGGCAGCGAAACCGCGAGGUUAAGCCAAUCCCACAAAUCUGUUCUCAGUUCG
rnacentral:rRNA from 1 species